rnacentral:tRNA from 1 species
GAAUAGCUCAGUUGGUUAGAGCGUGGUGCUGAUAAUGCCAAGGUUGCAGGUUCGAUCCCCGUAAGGGACA